UCGAAUCAAUCAAGGCUGUUGCUGGCGCCCUCGAGCGCAUGUGCACGCUUCUUUGUUUCUCCCACUGUGCACAAACCUGUAGACCCUUUCUUGAGGAUUGCCGUGCGAAAGUCGGCUCUCCUUGUUGUCUAUGCUUUCACAACCUAUGAAUGUAUCUAGAAUGCUUUGAAUCUGGGGAAUAUACAUA
rnacentral:misc_RNA from 1 species